rnacentral:snRNA from 1 species
GCUGUUGUGGCUGAUCUGGCUGGCUAGGUGGCCCCUUCCUUCUACAUAGCUCCAUGUGCAUUCCUCCUGAAGCUGCGGGCUUGGUCAAAGAAGACAAUCUUCCCUGAUAGAGGAGUACCUUAUUUGUUCACAGGUGUACAAGUAGCUUCUGCUAGAAUUUCCAAAUAAAGUUCAUUUGUAGGAAAAUAUAGAGCAGUUAAGCCUCCGGGACUCCACAUCCAAAAUGAGGUGUUGCAUUUGGCAGUCUCUGCUUUU